GCGGCCGGCCAUACCACCUUAGGCACGCCCGAUCUCGUCUGAUCUCGGAAGCUAAGCAGGGUCGGGCCUGGUUAGUACUUGGAUGGGUGACCGCCUGGGAAUACCAGGUGCUGUAAGCA
ensembl:rRNA 5S_rRNA 5S ribosomal RNA